rnacentral:ribozyme from 13 species
UUUCUCGUUUCCCUCCUUCUUUCUUUCCUCUUCUUCUCUUUUUUCUUUUGACUGACUUCGUGCGAGAUUUCGAGGGAAGAGAGAGAGAAGGACAUCGUCCCUCGAGAACCUUUUGUGAAUUCGAGAUCCAAAAUCUUUUGUUUUUUCAGUCAGACCCAACAAAAGAGAA